rnacentral:tRNA from 1 species
GGUCUAAUAGUGUAGAGGUUAUCACACGGGAUUCUGAUAUUUCACAUUUUAGAUGGUAUAUCUUCCCGUGACCCAGGUUCGAGUCCUGGUUAGACCU